rnacentral:lncRNA from 1 species
AUCUCUAUGGCAAAAGCUUUCUAAAUUGAUAAAAAUCCAACCUUAUGAAGAUACUUCUACUUCUUAGUCCAAUCAGAAAAUUGUCAUAUCGGACAUAAAAAGUGGGGGCAAAGUGUUGGUGUGUUAAAUCAACCUCGAGACACAUGGCAUAAUCAAGUGAGAUCAAAGAGACAUCAAUCUGAAAGCGCCAGGUCCCAAC